rnacentral:rRNA from 1 species
GACGAACGCUGGCGGCGUGCUUAACACAUGCAAGUCGAGCGGUAAGGCCCUUUCGGGGGUACACGAGCGGCGAACGGGUGAGUAACACGUGGGUGACCUGCCCUCAGCUCUGGGAUAAGCCUGGGAAACCGGGGUCUAAUACCGGAUAUGACUCCAUGACGCAUGUUGUGGGGUGGAAAGCCUUGUGCGGCUGAGGAUGGGCCCGCGGCCUAUCAGCUUGUUGGUGGGGUGAGGCCUACCAAGGCGACGACGGGUAGCCGGCCUGAGAGGGCGACCGGCCACACUGGGACUGAGACACGGCCCAGACUCCUACGGGAGGCAGCAGUGGGGAAUCUUGCGCAAUGGGCGAAAGCCUGACGCAGCGACGCCGCGUGAGGGAUGACGGCCU